AAAGGAUUUGAGGUAGUUUUGAAUGCCCCCCCCCAACCCCAACCGCUACGUAACCCCCGCCCCCCCUUUUAAGGAAUGUCUUGGCCAGCUGCUGUGAGGGGAAGAUGGUGGGAGGGGGUCGUCAUAGUGGGAGUGAAGGGGGGUGGUGAUGAGGCACACACUGACCCUGGAGGUUGCGUUCCCCUUUAAAAGUCACAGCACACUCAGAUACGCAAGGCUCAUGCAGGAGCUGCUGCGGCAGUGGGAGAACACUGCUGAGCUGUGCAGUUUGUACUGCCAGUGAGCGCGCAGAGAGGAGGAGGGGGAGCAAGAGAUAGAAAAAGAGAGAGAGAGCCAGAGAAUGAGGCAGGGAUAGAAAGCGAACAAUGUCAUUCCAUUCAGCAGGCAAUGCUGCAGUCAACUUUACACCACCGGAGAAGAAGACACGGCCGCUUGUGCAUCAUCCCUGCAAGACCCGGAGUUUUUGCUGCUGAAGCCCUAAAGCAGAGGGCGCUGUGCAGACCAACAAGAACAUGCCUUGACUUGUACCGGCUUGUCAGGAGGGAGUUAAGGCUUGUGGUCAGCACCAGCAACUGUAUUGUUCUCAUCUAAAUGACCAGUGAAAGAUGACAACUGCAUACUAUCGACUGGAGAAUAUAUGGAUAUUGGGACAGACUGGGCUGAGAAUCUCAGCAGGGAUAUCCUCUCUCUGGAAGAUCCCUGACUUCACCUCCUCUGAUGACAUGACCCCUGAGAGAGACAAAAGAAACGUAUCCAGAUGUCCUGGAGAAGAUGAGAGACCCUGUGUCAGCAGUAAGGAAACCUCUCACCGACCUUCAUCUCUUGGAAAGCAAAAGCAGAACAAAGGCUUAUUCUUUAAGGGGAAAUCUACCUCUGUCCCUUGGCUGUCAUACAAGUACUGUGUGUGGACAUUCCACGAGCAGAGUAUUAAAGUGUCCAGAGCUGACCUGCAGGAGACGGCAGAGUCAUAUACUGGAAGCCUUUACAGUCACCGACAGCUGAUGGUGAUGGAAGGGAAGAGAGCGAGUGAGGGAUGAGGGCUGCUGCUGUGAGUGGUUCUUUGGCAGUGUCUUAGCUGGUUGUUGUGUGGAGUGAGAACGAAGCAAUCAGCAAGUAUACUGCCGCAGAAACUCGUCACCUUGAGAGGCCCAUCCAUCCGACCCCGCUCAUACACUCGACUGCCCACCCGCACUCAGAGGCUGGAGAGAGACAGGAAAAGAGAAACCUUAGUCUGUGCUCAUUAUCAAGCUUCUCUACCCAUUCAUUCUUCUUCUAAUUGUGAGUGUCAGCUUUUGUUUAAUGGCACCGCUGCUUAAACACUUACAGCGACUUGAGUGUUUCAAGUGAAAGAUUGGUUCAUGCUUACAGUAUGUUUACUCUUAUUUUCUAUGACAUUGCUGACUUAGUUUAGAUCAGUCUGUUCCCUUUCUUUCUUCUUCCAUGAGAUCAGGAGUGAAUCAUUCAAGUGUUAUUGUUAAUAUCAGCUGACCAGAUUUCACAGUUUCAGUAAUGGUAUGACUUGGCCUAUAUUUAGCUUACAGUCUGAUGACAUAUGCAUACUGUGUUCUGUGUAUGUAUAAACUUAAUCGUGGACCAAAACAUUAAUCAUAUGAUAAACCAAAAAUAAUAUUUAUUUACAUUUCACUUAUAUACUAAAAUUAGAGAGAAUAUAUAUGUGAAAGAAAGAAAUACAGUGGGUAAGGAAAGUAUUCAGACCCCCUUAAAUUUUUCACUUUCACCCUAAUACUUAGGACCAUGUGAUAUUUCAGUUUUUCUUUUUUAAUAAAUCUGCAAAAAUGUAAACA
ensembl:lncRNA